UUGGAGAACUUUUUAAAAUCUUGCGGUUGGGGAUUUAGCUCAGCGGUAGAGCGCUUGCCUAGCAAGCGCAAGGCCCUGGGUUCGGUCCCCAGCUCCGAGCAAAAGAAAAAAAAAAAAGAAAUCUUACGUCCUCUGAUUUUACAAGAGCCCUGCAAAAACAGCGCCCAAGACUUUCAAAGUGAAGUAAUUACUAAUAAAUGUCUAAACAGGAAGUUGAAAGCAAAGAAAUAAGAGGUUUUUGUUUCGGGGUUGGGGAUUUGGCUCAGCGGUAGGGCGCUUGCCUAGCAAGC
rnacentral:lncRNA from 1 species